AACGUAGGAGACGAACGUUUAUCCGGAGUUACUGGGCGUAAAGGGCGUGUAGGCGGUUUGUUAAGUCUGGCGUGAAAGCUCUCGGCUAAACCGGGAGAGGUCGUUGGAUACUGGCGAACUAGAGGAUGGUAGAGGCGUGUGGAAUUCCGGGUGUAGUGGUGAAAUGCGUAGAGAUCCGGAGGAACACCAGUGGCGAAGGCGACACGCUGGGCCAUACCUGACGCUAAAGCGCGACAGCAUGGGGGAGCAAACGGG
rnacentral:rRNA from 1 species